UACGUAGGGGGCAAGCGUUGUCCGGAAUCAUUGGGCGUAAAGAGCGUGUAGGCUGCUCGGUAAGUCCGCUGUAAAAGUCAAAGGCUCAACCUUUGAAUGUCAGUGGAUACUGCCGGGCUAGAGUCCGGAAGAGGCGAGUGGAACUCCUGGUGUAGCGGUGGAAUGCGCAGAUAUCAGGAGGAACACCGGUGGCGAAGGCGGGUCUCUGGGCAGUAACUGACGCUGAGGAGCGAAGCGUGGGAGCGAACAGG
rnacentral:rRNA from 1 species